rnacentral:rRNA from 1 species
CAGUCGCCGCGGUAAUACGUAGGGUGCGAGCGUUAAUCGGAAUUACUGGGCGUAAAGCGUGCGCAGGCGGUUUGUUAAGUCAGAUGUGAAAUCCCCGAGCUUAACUUGAGAACUGCAUUUGAAACUGGCAAGCUAGAGUCUUGUAGAGGGGGGUAGAAUUCCAGGUGUAGCGGUGAAAUGCGUAGAGAUCUGGAGGAAUACCGGUGGCGAAGGCGGCCCCCUGGACAAAGACUGACGCUCAGGUGCGAAAGCGUGGGGAGCAAACAGGAUUAGAGACCCGUGUAGUCCCUGUCUCUUAUAC